GAUGAACGCUGGCGGCGUGCCUAAUACAUGCAAGUCGAGCGAACGGACGAGAAGCUUGCUUCUCUGAUGUUAGCGGCGGACGGGUGAGUAACACGUGGAUAACCUACCUAUAAGACUGGGAUAACUUCGGGACACCGGAGCUAAUCCCGGAUGAUAUUUUGAACCGCAUGGUUCAAGAGUGAAAGACGGUCUUGCUGUCACUUAUAGAUGGAUCCGCGCUGCAUUAGCUAGUUGGUAAGGUAACGGCUUACCAAGGCAACGAGGCAUAGCCGACCUGAGAGGGUGAUCGGCCACACUGGAACUGAGACACGGUCCAGACUCCUACGGGAGGCAGCAGUAGGGAAUCGUCCGCAAGGGGCGAAAGCCGGACGGAGCAACGCCGCGUGAGGGAUGAAGGUCUUCGGAUCGUAAAACUCUGUUAUUAGGGAAGAACAUAUGUGUAAGUAACUGGGCACAUCUUGACGGUACCUAAUCAGAAAGCCACGGCUAACUACGUG
rnacentral:rRNA from 1 species